rnacentral:rRNA from 1 species
AUACGGAGGGUGCAAGCGUUACUCGGAAUCACUGGGCGUAAAGGACGCGUAGGCGGAUUGGAAAGUCGGAUGUGAAAUCCUACAGCUUAACUGUAGAACUGCAUUUGAAACUUCUAAUCUAGAGUAUGGGAGGGGGAGAUGGAAUUAGUGGUGUAGGGGUAAAAUCCGUAGAUAUCAUUAGGAAUACCGAAAGCGAAGGCGAUCUCCUGGAACAUAACUGACGCUAAGGCGUGAAAGCGUGGGGAGCAAACGGGAUUAGAAACCCCUGUAGUCC